rnacentral:rRNA from 1 species
UACGGAGGGUGCGAGCGUUGUCCGGAAUCACUGGGCGUAAAGGGCGCGUAGGCGGCCUGAUAAGUAGGGGGUGAAAUCCUGCGGCUUAACCGCAGGGCUGCCUUCUAAACUGUCAGGCUAGAGCACAGUAGAGGCAGGUGGAAUUCCUGGUGUAGCGGUGAAAUGCGCAGAUAUCAGGAGGAACACCGGUGGCGAAGGCGGGUCUCUGGGCAACAACUGACGCUGAGGAGCGAAAGCGUGGGGAGCGAACAGG